rnacentral:snoRNA from 1 species
UCUUGUGAGAAAUGAUGAGCGUGACCAUUCUUCAUGCCAAAGUGAAGAAAUGAGAUCCAACUCUGAGCUCUCCCUGUUGCAAAG